rnacentral:rRNA from 1 species
GACGAACGCUGGCGGCGUGCCUAACACAUGCAAGUGGAGCGACGAACCAGGCUUCGGCCUGGGGCAAAGCCGCGAACGGGUGAGUAACACGUGGGUAACCUGCCCCGAUGAUUGGGACAACCCGAGGAAACUCGGGCUAAUACCGAAUGUGCCCUUCGACCGCAAGGUCGCUGGGGAAAGGAAGCUUCGGCCUCCGCAUCGGGAUGGGCCCGCGGCCCAUUAGCUUGUUGGUGAGGUAACGGCUCACCAAGGCGACGAUGGGUAGCUGGUCUGAGAGGACGAUCAGCCACACUGGGACUGAGACACGGCCCAGACUCCUACGGGAGGCAGCAGUGGGGAAUCUUGCGCAAUGCGCGAAAGCGUGACGCAGCAACGCCGCGUGGGGGAAGACGGCCUCGGUGUAACCCGUUA